rnacentral:misc_RNA from 1 species
CACCGCGGUAAUUCCAGCUCCAAUAGCGUAUAUUAAAGUUGUUGCAGUUAAAAAGCUCGUAGUUGAAUUUCGGGAUCAAUAUGUUGGUCGUGCCUUUGGUACGUACUAGCUUAUUGAUUUCUCCCUUCUGACGAACCAUGAUGUCAUUAAUUUGGUGUCAUGGGGAAUCAGGACUGUUACUUUGAAAAAAUUAGAGUGUUUAAAGCAGGCUUACGCUUGAAUAUAUUAGCAUGGAAUAAUGAAAUAGGACGUUUUGAUUCUAUUUUGUUGGUUUCUAGGAUCGACGUAAUGAUUAAUAGGGAUAGUUGGGGGCAUUAGUAUUCAAUUGUCAGAGGUGAAAUUCUUGGAUUUAUUGAAGACUAACUACUGCGAAAGCAUUUGCCAAGGAUGUUUUCAUUAAUCAAGAACGAAAGUGAGGGGAUCGAAGACGAUCAGAUACCGUCGUAGUCUUAACCAUAAACUAUGCCGACUAGGGAUCGGAUGAUGUUAAUUUUUUAAUGACUCAUUCGGCGCCUUAC